CGGGGGGCCCGUGCUGGCUCUCGUCCAGUCUUAUCAUAUGACGUACAAGCAACCGGGCCGUCUGCUUGCGGCUUGCGAAGGAGAAGUGCACGAGCAGCCUUGAAAUUGGGAUCAAAUCCAGGCCUCCCGUCGGAGGAGAAAGGACCAUUCUCCACUUCUCCAUCUAGCGGUGGAGAGGCUCAACGUGCGCAAUACCGAGCUGCAUCCUGCCAAAAUAUGAUGCACCUGCACUCAGCAUCCAGCAGGUGGUGGUGCUGCGCCUGCACUCAGCAUCCAGCAGGUGGUGGUGCUGCGCCUGCACUCAGCAUCCAGCAGGUGGUGGUGCUGCGCCUGCACUCAGCAUCCAGCAGGUGGUGGUGUUGCUCUAGACGUGUUCCCUCGUCCAUUCAAGUUUCUAUUUCUGCUAAUUCGUUGGAGAUGGCAGAUAUAGUCACAUUUUUAAAACAGGACUUUUAUAUUAUAUAUAUUAUCUAUAGAAGGAUGGUUGAAUACGACUUCCGUAAUAAUUUGUUUCAUAUGGUUGAUGAUGACGGUUUGUCUCUGCAUAUAUUAAAAAUGCACAUAUUACUCAG